rnacentral:misc_RNA from 1 species
GAUGAAGAACGCAGCAAAAUGCGAUAAGUAAUGUGAAUUGCAGAAUUCAGUGAAUCAUCGAAUCUUUGAACGCACAUUGCGCCCCUUGGUAUUCCGAGGGGCAUGCCUGUUCGAGCGUCAUUAUAACCCCUCAAGCUCAGCUUGGUGUUGGGGCCUGCUGCACUGGCAGCCCUUAAAAUCAGUGGCGGCGCCAUCUGGCUCUAAGCGUAGUAAUUCUUCUCGCUAUGGAGUCCUGGUGGAUGCUUGCCAUCAACCCCCAAUUUUUCUAUGGUUGACCUCGGAUCAGGUAGGGAUACCCGCUGAACUUAAGCAUAUCAAUAAGCGGAGGA